ACGCACGCUGGCGGCGUGCUUAACACAUGCAAGUCGAACGGAAAGGCCCCUUUGGGGGUACUCGAGUGGCGAACGGGUGAGUAACACGUGAGUAACCUGCCCUUGACUUCGGGAUAACUUCAGGAAACUGGGGCUAAUACCGGAUAGGAAUCCUUGCUGCAUGGUGGGGGUUGGAAAGCUUCGGCGGUUUUGGAUGGACUCGCGGCUUAUCAGCUUGUUGGUGGGGUAGUGGCUUACCAAGGCUUUGACGGGUAGCCGGCCUGAGAGGGCGACCGGCCACAUUGGGACUGAGAUACGGCCCAGACUCCUACGGGAGGCAGCAGUGGGGAAUAUUGCACAAUGGGCGGAAGCCUGAUGCAGCAACGCCGCGUGCGGGAUGACGGCCUUCGGGUUGGAAACCGCUUUCAGCAGGGGCGAAGCUUGUGGUGACGGUACCUGCAGAAGAAGCACCGGCUAACUACGUG
rnacentral:rRNA from 1 species